rnacentral:rRNA from 1 species
UGGGCCCACCUGACCCCAUGCCGAACUCAGAAGUGAAACGCCGUAGCGCCGAUGGUAGUGUGGGGUCUCCCCAUGCGAGAGUAGGGAACUGCCAGGC